UUGGAAAUUGCUUGAGCAGGGGCCCCAGGGGCCCUUACAGAAGAGGAGGAAUGGGUCAAGGGAGGAGAGGCCAGCACCACUGGACUGGGGGAGUGGAAAGCCCAUCAUUCCCCUGUCUCUCCUCCUCCUCUGCCACCAACUGGAAAUUCGUUUGCAAAUGGACUGCUUGAAAUCCAGAAACACUGCUAUAAAUGAUAGCCAUUUCCCUAAUUGAACCCACAAAAGCCUUUGUCACUGAUAAGCCAAGAAAUCUUAAAGAAGAUGUCUGGUUUGAGAAGGAGAGCUUGCCAUGCCUGAAAAUAACCCUGGAUUUUAAUGACGAUGGCGUUUUCUGGAAAAACAAACAAAAAAGAAUAAAGCAAUUGAGCAAAAACGA